UCCCUGGUGGCUCAGACGGUAGAGUAUCUGCCUGCAAUGCAGGAGACCCAGGUUUGAUCCCUGGGUAGGGAA
rfam:TPA: Bos taurus chromosome 8, whole genome shotgun sequence.